rnacentral:rRNA from 1 species
AUGAAGAAAUAUCAGAGUCCCCUGUCUACUUUUUCUUUCAUUCAAAGAUUUUUGGAUGAUCUUCAGUUAAUGCCAGCAAAUGAGAAGAAAAAGCACGCUGGAGUUCAGAGAGGAGUCACGAAACGAUGGUUGAAAAGUGGUCCUGGUGUAGCAAAGAUUAAUGUCGAUGCUUCAAUCUCCAGGAAUAAUGUAAGAGGUGCAAGUGCAGCCAUCUGUCGUGAUGACAAAGGUGUUUACCUGGGAGCUUCAGUGACUGUCUUUGAUGGACUAGUCGAUCCUGAAUGUUUAGAAGCCCAUGCUUGCUGUGAGGCAUUCGCCCUAGCAACAGACCUGCAGUUGAGAAGGGUGAAAGUUGCAACUGACUGCUUAGCCACUGUCAAUGAUUUAUAUGGUAACUUCAUGGGCUCCUCGGCGACUAUUAUCAGGGAUAUAAAACUAAGAAUGAGGCAAGUCGAUGAAUCUGAAGUGGUGCAUGAAGCUAGAGAAUGCAAUUUUGAAGCUCGUGCUUUGGCUAAGGCUUCGGCCUCUCUUGCCGCGGGACGGCACCUUUGGUUAUCCACUUUUCCUACUGUUUUAUUUGUA